GAAAUGCGAUAAGUAGUGUGAAUUGCAGAAUUCAGUGAAUCAUCGAAUCUUUGAACGCACAUUGCGCCCUUUGGUAUUCCAAAGGGCAUGCCUGUCCGAGCGUCAUUUGUACCCUCAAGCUUUGCUUGGUGUUGGGCGUCUUGUCUCUAGCUUUGCUGGAGACUCGCCUUAAAGUAAUUGGCAGCCGGCCUACUGGUUUCGGAGCGCAGCACAAGUCGCACUCUCUAUCAGCAAAGGUCUAGCAUCCAUUAAGCCUUUUUUCAACUUUUGACCUCGGAUCAGGUAGGGAUACCCGCUGAACUUAAGC
rnacentral:misc_RNA from 1 species